AUCAAAUGAGUUGUGUUAUGAAUUAUUAAUCAGCAAAAACAACCAAACCUCAGCGCUCCCCAACCAAACCAAUCAUAGAAGUCCUCAAACUUUUUCUUGUUUUACUCUUGAAUCUGUAGACUAUAAAGUUUGAUCGGAGUUGUGAGUUGGAUUGCUCUCUGAUCUUCAGUCUGGCGAAGAUGUGGUGGGGUGGACAGGUGGGGUUGCCGGCGGCGGGUAUUUGCUCGCCUUUAUUCACCAAAGAGCUCUCCUUGAUUACAGAAAGCAACAAAAAUGGGGAUAGUAAUGAAGAGAGCAGAGAGAAUGAUAAUAAUGAAGAAGAAGAUGAGUGUAGAGAGGGGGCGGUUCUUGAAGUGGGCACUAAGCGGCCGAGGGGGCGGCCGCCGGGGUCGAAGAACAAGCCGAGGCCGCCGAUUUUCGUCACGCGCGACACCCCCAACGGGCUCCGGAGCCACGUGAUGGAGAUCGCCGGCGGGACCGACGUGGCGGAGAGCAUAGCGCAGUUCGCGCGGCGGCGGCAGAGGGGGGUUUGUGUCCUCAGCGGGAACGGCGCCGUCGCUAAUGUAACGCUCCGGCAGCCCGCCGCUCCCGGCGCGGUCAUGUUGCAAGGCCGGUUCGAGAUUCUGUCCUUGGCCGGGACGUUCCUCCCCGGGCCUUCCCCGCCGGGGGCCACCGGUCUCACGGUGUACUUAGCCGGCGUUCAGGGGCAGGUGGUCGGAGGGAGCGUGGUGGGGCCGCUGGUGGCCGCCGGACCCGUCAUGGUCAUUGCCGCCACCUUCGCUAACGCCACUUAUGAAAGAUUGCCAAUUCUUGAAGACGACGACCUGCCGGACUCCAGAGGUGGCUCCGCCGCUCAACUCCCUAUUGAUGAGUCCCCUCCGCCGCUUGCCGGAGCGGAACACCACGGCCUGCCGGAACCUUCCUCUUCCCUACCUCUAUACAAUCUUACACCAAAUCUGUUUCCUAAUGGAGGGCAAUUGAGUCCUCAUGAUCCCUAUGCUUGGCAACAUCCUCGGCUCUCCAAUUUCUAAGACCAUCAAGAAUCAAGGAGAACUUUAGCACCAUGAAGAGAAGACAACAAGGUUUAUUGUUGACAUGGAGAUUUUAAUAAAGGAUUUGAAUCACCUGGAAAUUAAACCAUUGAAAUAAACAUGUAUUAGUGGUGGCCUGGUGUAUUAGUGAUUAUGUUGGUGAUGAAAGAUUGAUAUAUUUAAUUAAUUUUCUGCUUCGUUUCAUGGUGGUCAACUAGACACAAAAUCUUGUGAAGAUUUACUAAUAGCUUCUAUAUGUAUAUAUGCAAUAUCACUUUGUUUUUUAUUUAGUUGAACAUGAUGUAACACCUUAAUGUUAAUGAGUAAAAUAAUUUGUAAUGUUAA